rnacentral:rRNA from 1 species
AUUGAACGCUGGCGGCAUGCCUUACACAUGCAAGUCGAACGGUAACAGGUCUUCGGAUGCUGACGAGUGGCGAACGGGUGAGUAAUACAUCGGAACGUGCCUAGCAGUGGGGGAUAACUACUCGAAAGAGUGGCUAAUACCGCAUGAGAUCUACGGAUGAAGGCAGGGGAUCGCAAGACCUUGUGCUACUAGAGCGGCCGAUGGCAGAUUAGGUAGUUGGUGGGAUAAAAGCUUACCAAGCCGACGAUCUGUAGCUGGUCUGAGAGGAAGAUCAGACACACGGGGACUGAGACACGGACGAGACUCCGACGGGAGGCAGCAGUGGGGAAUUUUGGACAAUGGGGGAAAGCCGGAUCCAGCAAUGCCGCGUGCAGGAUGAAGGCCUUCGGGUUGUAAACUGCUUUUGUACGGAACGAAAAGCCCUGGGUUAAUACCCUGGGGUCAUGACGGUACCGUAAGAAUAAGCACCGGCUAACUACGUGCCAGCAGCCGCGGUAAAAC